UUCUACACGAUUUUGCCUCAUAGUAUC
rnacentral:sRNA from 1 species